rnacentral:misc_RNA from 1 species
UGGGCAGAUGGCUCUUCAUCAUUAAUCACAGUAGUGCGAAACAGAGACCUGCGAGACUGAAUAGAAAGAAGGAAUUUGUAGUUGAUAUAAGAGAUGGGUCUUGGGGAAGAUUUCACAUUUGAGAAUGCCCUUGUACUAAUUCCACGAUUCCUGCUUACAAACACAAAUAAUAGCCAAAUAUUGCCUCACAAUUUAAGUUCAAACAUCUUAUGCAGAGGGAAGGAAUGAAGGGAAAG